UAGGGAAUCUUCGGCAAUGGACGAAAGUCUGACCGAGCAACGCCGCGUGAGUGAAGAAGGUUUUCGGAUCGUAAAACUCUGUUGUUAGAGAAGAACAAGGACGUUAGUAACUGAACGUCCCCUGACGGUAUCUAACCAGAAAGCCACGGCUAACUACGUGCCAGCAGCCGCGGUAAUACGUAGGUGGCAAGCGUUGUCCGGAUUUAUUGGGCGUAAAGCGAGCGCAGGCGGUUUCUUAAGUCUGAUGUGAAAGCCCCCGACUCAACCGGGGAGGGGCAUUGGAAACUGGGAGACUUGAGUGCAGAAGAGGAGAGUGGAAUUCCAUGUGUAGCGGUGAAAUGCGUAGAUAUAUGGAGGAACACCAGUGGCGAAGGCGGCUCUCUGGUCUGUAACUGACGCUGAGGCUCGAAAGCGUGGGGAGCAAACAGG
rnacentral:rRNA from 1 species